UUAAAACCUCCUCACUCUCCCUCAUAAAGCCUGAUGGAGCGGCGAAGACUAGUCAUCUCCUCCUCCCUCUCCCCUCUCUCAAUCUCUAGCUUUGUAGAUUUUCCGGAAGCCUCCCAUCUGACAUCCAUGGUUGUUGGAGGGGAUUUCUUCUCCUUUCAGGCUUCUCAUCUUCAGGCGGUUGGUUUGGUGCUGACGGGCGGUGACAACGAGAGAGAGCACGCCGGUGCGGCCGUCACGGAGAUGUGGCUCGUGGCGGCGUACUUGCGUGCUCCCUCCCGCUGUCACUGCCUCCACUACCAUGUACUUUCUCCUUCAGCCCCCUCAAUCUGGCAAGGGAAACUACGGGGCUAAUUACGGGGGCUUGUUUGGAGCCUUGAAGGGACUGGGGUCCAAAUAGAAAAGUAAAAAGGGCAUUGCAAUGCUCACUUCCAGAAAACCAUCCUUAUGCCAAUCUAUCUUUUUAAUUACUAUGUACUGAUUUUUGGGAUCUCCUGGCUCCUAGAAUUGGUAUGAGCCUGGGGAUGUAUGCGCGCUUUUAUCGACAUUUGAGCUGUUCCUGAAUGCCUGUUUGCAUUUAGGCAUUAACAUUUUCGUGCUUCAGAUGCUAGACUUAUGUAUUUUGAUCAAUACAAAUAAGAGCAAGGCUUGUGGGGUGGAUCCCUGUCUUCA